rnacentral:rRNA from 1 species
GACGUAGGGUGCAAGCGUUGUCCGGAUUUAUUGGGCGUAAAGAGCUCGUAGGCGGCUCGUUGCGUCGGCUGUGAAAACCCGCAGCUUAACUGUGGGCCUGCAGCCGAUACGGGCGGGCUGGAGUUCGGUAGGGGAGACUGGAAUUCCUGGUGUAGCGGUGAAAUGCGCAGAUAUCAGGAGGAACACCGGUGGCGAAGGCGGGUCUCUAGUACGGUACUGACGCUGAGACGCGAAAGCGUGGGGAGCGAACAGG